UCUAAUGGCCCGCUGUGAGACGUGAGGAAGGUCGUAGCGUAUAGCCUGACCACAUCACCUCCGCAUCCCGGACCUUUGGGGCACUAGAGGUUGUGACACACAGCCUGCACGGCCCCAACAAACCCCCAAGAAAAGAAGAGGAAAGCCAGAGAGGCGAUCAGCUGUGUCUUGUGUCAAAUUACCUUUCCCUUCACUCAGACGUCAUUACCUUGUGGCGGCGGCGUCUCUUUCUGCUGUCAUGAUUGUCAAGAUAUGGAGAAAGAGAGACCAGUCAAAGAGGAAGAGGAAGAGGUACAGGGAGAUAAGGAGAAGAAGAAAGAAUGAAUGAAGAGAAAAAAGGAAAGCUGUAGCUCAUCGCAUCGCAUGACCUCUCCUCAAGCUCUUCGUCAUCGUCCUGUUCAUACACCUUCUUAUCUCGCCAAAUUGAUGGUUUCCUGCCCUGCCUACUGGAAACACACAUGAUAAAUGUCCAAAUGAGGCAGAUGUCAGCAGACAGGUCACCACCACCACUACCAUCACCACCACCACUACCACCACCACCACCACCUUAGGAAGCAGGGCAACCUUCAGGUGAAACACACCACCCAAUCACUCACUGCUGGUGUGGACGGGAGAAGCACUGGUGUGUGAUCUUUCUCCUAAAGUAUGGUGAGCAGCGCUACACAAGGUUGUCACAGCGAUGGGAGGAGAGCUUGAUGUUCUUCCCAUACACCGUCUUCACCUGUUCGGUGCCAAACUGGCCGUACACAAACACACACUCCGAGGGGACGACAGGACCAUUGCUGGCCCACUGCACAUCACAAUCUGUGAGGCAAGAAACAACCUUUUCUAACAACCAGGCACCUCGCCCAGCGUGUACACCACCUGCAGCCGGCUGUCCUGGUCUGCCAAGGAGAACACAAUAUCGAGAUAUGUGGUCUUGUUGCCGUGGUGGAACAGUAAAGGUUUUACUAAAGACACAUGAAGCGAAGCCUAGAUGGUGCCAGAACUGACAAGGGACAGAGCAAGUAAUGAGAGGAGUCUUGGAUAUAUGGAAGUGCAAGGAAGAAGGAGAGAUGAUGAUGGAUAGCAUACAAGCAAGAUAAGAGAAAAAAAAGGACUAGACAAGAUGAAGAUACAAACAAGAUUAGAUGAUAGCAGAGAACAAGGACUAUUUAAGAUUGGAAAGAAAAAUGAAAGGGCUAGAUAUGCUGGAGGGAAAGGACCAACAGGGCAGGUAACUGGAGGAAAUUCACUGCAAACAGCAACUCCGUACAGAUGAAGAUGAUGUUCUGGAAUGGCGGUGAGGUAUGGCUGUCACUGGCAUUCUGCAUGAUGCCUGUAAUGCUAUCAGGUCAUGUCCUAAUAAGCAACAUGCUCAGGGGAGUGCCAUAUGUCACAAGGAGUCAUGUCUGUUGAUAGUGAGGUACCUGGUACACUUGAGGAAUACAGUGCUGGGCCAAAUAUGAGUAGAUGAGAGCAGUCAUGCAUGAUGUGUGACUCCCACUAAUGCAAACUCCUUAACUACUCAAUCUCGUGGCCCAGCAUAAAGUUCCUCAAGUCAGAAGAUUAAUGGCUACAGUCUUCACUAUAUUAACCCCUUUAGCACUGGGACACAUUUUUACCUGAGAUUUGUGUACCAUUAGACCAUUUCAAUGACAUUAACAAAGGUCUAUGGAGGUCACAAGAAUAAUGGCCACAGUCUUCAAUAUUUUUAAUUCCCCACAUGAGUUUGUGAAGUUUUAGUAAAUCACCAAAUAGUAACCAAAAGGAAUAUGGAGACUCAUGUUUUUUAGGACAUUUUUAAGAUGAUUUGAUGUGUUUUAAGGCAUUAUAAGACAGUUUGGCAUGUUUUGAGGGCAGUUUAAGACAGCUUGGCAUGUUUUGAGGGCAGUUUAAAACAAUUUGGUGUGUUUUCAGGGCAUUAUAAGACAGCUUGGCAUGUUUUGAGGGCAAUUUAAGAUAGCUUGGCAUGUUUUUAGGUCUUCAAUCUUUUAAUCCCCCACAUGAGUUUGUGAAACAGUAAAAAUCACCAAAUAGUCACCACAAGGGAUAUGGCAAUGUGUCACCCUACUGAAGGGGUUAAAUAGUAUUGUAAGGAAGCUUUGCAAAAAUUGCUUUUUUUUUUUUUUUUUUUUUUAAUCAUGAAAGCUGAUUUUGUGUGUGUGUGUGUGUGUGUGUGUGUGCGAGAUAAUCACUCUUUUGUUAUUUCUGAAAGGUGAUGUAAAGUUUUUAGGUGUUUGUGAGUGAGGUAAGAGUGUGUGAGGGUGUCAUUGUGUCAGGGGUGUAUCAAGAGUGUAUCUUACUCUGUAGAUUGCUUCAAUGAAUGGUAAUGAAUGGUGUUUUAACCUCUUCAGUACCAUGACACAUUUCCAUAUUCCUUGUGGUGACUAUUUGGUGAUUUUGUACAGCUUCACAAACUCAUGUGGGGGUUAAAAUGGUGAAGACUGUGGCCAUUAAUCUUGUGACCUUCUUAUGAUGGGCACUACUUUGUUAACGCGGAGUAAUGUAAUGUAAUGUUCUACCGUAUGAUGUACUAUGACCGUGGGUAUUGUUCCACCCCACGGGACGCCGCACUCAGUCGCUCCCAACACAGCUUCGUGAACAGACUCACGUUCUUUGACUGGUUCUCCUGUCCUGCACAGCCAGUCCAGUUCUACAGUGUACUGUCUACAGUCACACUCCAGUGUCUAGACUGUAAUUCUACAUCACGCUUACUACAAGCUUCAUCUAGCUGCUACCAACUAUAAGUCUCGCUCUGGCCACCAGCUACUUCUCAAGCCUCCACAGCUACUCGCUACCAAGUCUACCAAGCUUCAAUACACUUUGUAUCUUACAAUAAACACAGGGAAAGGC